UAUGAGGAGGCCCAAUGUUUUUUUCUGUCAUAGUCAAAAACCCAAUUUCUGAACUUAAUUUGUGAGACCCCUGAAAAACUUAAAAUACCUGUUUUGCCCUUUUAGGGGUGGAACCCAUUAAACCCUAGAUCUAAUCUGGAAAUUAACCCUCCCUCUUCUCUCGUUUCAGAAACGGCCGCUCCUCUCUCUCUCUCUCUUCUUCCACCAUUGCCUCUUCUCGCUUCUAACAAACGGCGGCGAAAAAGCUCCAAUUUCACUUGUUUGCGAGCUCUGAUAAUGGCUCUGGUGUGGCCGCGGAAGAUGCUCCUGUGACUUCUACUGAGGAACCGGUUGUUGUCACAAAUGGGUCUCCGACUCCGACUCCAUCGCCGCCACCAACCACGACGGCUGCGGCGGCGGAUCCGGUGGUGGUGGAGACUGUGAACAGCUUUAAGGAUCCAAGUUUCUUCAGCCACUUAAAUCAAAGCCGAGGAGGAGGAAGAUUUGUCGGGAACUAAAAUCAAUGGCCGUUACACGGUUGUCAGUGACCUCGUCGCCUCCGGUACGUCCAGCGGGAUUGCUCUCUCCGUGCUGCAAAUCUGGGAAGCAACGGCCAAGAGAGGCGUCUUCGACUAGGUUUGGCUUUUCUCUCUUUUUAUUUUUUUAUUUUUUUGUUCUUCUACUAUAUAAUGGAAUUUCCGUCCUAUAUUAGCCUCCUGAGAUAAUUUUUUAUGUUUUUUUUCUAGUUUGGAAAUGGCGAUUUGGUUGGUAUUGGUAAUUUUUAUUUUUUUACUAUGGCAAUAAUGACUUUGGGAGGUGAUCUGAGUAGGAAUAUGAUUAGUAAACAAAGUUGACUAGCAUUUGAUAAUUGAUUUUACAAUUUUACAUUAAUUUUUUUAACCAUUUUCUGUUAAUUAUAUUUCAAUUUUUUAUUUUUAUUUUUAAAUGGUGAGAAAGAUAUUGGAUUUGGUUUUGAGGUGAAUUAUGUAUGGAAUACAACAGAGGAGUUCAUGUAAUAUGGGGUAUUUGGAUCAAAUUGCCCCAUUCCACCAAAAUGGAAUAUAUAGUAUCAUAUAGUAAUAUGUAGUAAUAUAUGCAUGUGAUUGUGUAUUCUCGAUCUGUAUUUUGUUGUUAUGAGUUGAUUUAUAACGUAGAUAUUUAAACUGAACUUAAUUUUUUGUCACAUGUCUUGGAGUUCAAACAACUUCUAUGCAAUAAGUUUUUGCCAAGAGGAGUUGUUGCAAAACAAUUCUUUUGCAACCGAUAGAUUGGAGGAGAUGAUCCGAAAUGCCUCAAGUGUGAGAGUUUUGUUUCCCUGUAGUAGAAAACUUAAUCAGUAGUGUUACUUAGAUGGGUGAUUUGGGUUAGGUGAAUAUACAGUUAUAUGUAGUCAUAUACAGUCAUAUAUGUAGUCAUAUACAGUCAUAGAUGUAGUCAUAUACAGUCAUAUAUGUAGUCAUAUACAGUCAUAGAUGUAGUCAUAUACAGUCAUAUAUGUCGUCAUGUAUAGUCAUGGAUACAUAUAACUAUACAUGAUUAUAGAACUUGUAGUAUACUAUAAUCAUUUUUUUUAUGUAUUUUUCAUAUAAUCUAACUCGCAUGUUUCACUUUGCUCUUUAACUUGUAUUUUUUUUGUCACAUGUUUUGCUUUGUAUAACAUUAUGAGAUGCUAAUAAUAAGGCGCAGAGAUAUUCCAUCAUUUUCUGUUAUCUCUUGCCUCGCAUCGCCGCUUGCCCAUCGCCUGCGUAAUCUCCGCCGCCGCGCCUCUUCCAUCUCUCCAUACCCUCAGCCUCUCACUGCCACUCCGUUGCUAACAGCCGCCCACCGCCACUCCGCCGCCCACCACCGCUCACCACCGCCACCGUCACCGGUAAAUUAAUUGCAACCACUUUGUUCCUAUAUCAUAUAUCUCUCUCUCUCUCUCUCUCUUAAGAUUUUGUGUAGAAUGACUAAUUUGGAAUGAUAGCAAGGUCAACAAGUAAUUGUCAAUAUAUCUCGUGAUUUACUUUCACUCAAUUCUUCUGUCGUGUUUGUGUUUUUGCUCUUCUGUUUCAAACCAAUAAAUGGUGUCUUUUUUUUUUUUUUCCGACCACAUUGUUUUAUUCAUAAUCUUAUAUAGAUUCAAUUGUGAACUUUUUGGUUUAUAUACAUAUAUAGUACACGGUAGUCAUAUAUAAUCACAUGUAGUAACAAGAAUGAACAUAACUACAUGUGACUAUAGUUGACUACAUAUAGUCAUAUCUAGUCAUAUGCAGUAACAACUACUUGUGACUAUAGUUCACCAAAAUAAAUUUAUCAAAAAAAUGUCUUUCAUUAUUUUUUUUGUAUUUUUUCACGUAAUAUAAUUCGUUUGUUCCAUUUUUGUUCUUCGUUUUGUUUAACUUGUAUUUUUUGUCACAGGUUUUGCUUUGGGUAACAGUAUGAGAUGCAAAGAAUAAGAUGCAGAGAAGUGUCAUGUGACGUUUCAUUGUAGAUAAUUGUAGAUAACUAUAGUCACGUGUAGUAACAUAUAGUUAUAUACGUGUUAUGUGUUUUUAAUGUAUAGUAAUGCGUGUUCAUAUUUUGAAGAUUUUAUGGAUGUGAUUGUGUUUUCGUUUUUUUUUUUUGGGUUAGUUGAUUUAUAAUAUCAAGAUUGAAAUUGUAAAUUUUGUUGUUCGUGUAGAUUAAUAUUGGUAAAAAAACAG
rnacentral:lncRNA from 1 species